UAUGUGGUUGCUAGUAUAAUAUCCGGUCGUCAAUACUAUAAUAAAAUUAACCCAAAAAAGCGCGCAUGUUUCCCUCAAUUUUUCCCCACUCACCCCUCUAAAUAGAUUUAAAAAAAUAAAGAAAAACCUCAACACAAACAAAACGGCUUAGCAGUAGAAACUGCCAAGUCUUCAUCUCGCAGCCUCAAAAUUCUCAAUCAUUAUUAGGCGUAGGAAUAAGAUUGAGAGUCUGUUGCUACAAGUCAGAGACAUGGAGAUAUUAUAAGAGAGCGUCAGGAAUGCAAGGGAUUCAAUGAGCACAAAGUUCCGCAGAGUUUUCCUUCGUGGUGCACACCCCUUUUGAACCAGAAGGCAUUUUAGGGUAGCAUUUCUGUCCUUAAACAUUUCCCUUGGUUCCUUUCAGUAACAGCUGUUGUUGCCUGCAUUAUUGGACUCCAAUAUGGUCAUAUUCUUGUUCAAUUUCAGGAUCAUAAAGAAAGGCUAUACAACUGGUCCAUCCUCUUAUUUCCACUUCUGUUUCUUGGUCUCUUCCUUGCUGUGACAGAUAUAUCUAUCUAUUCUUUUUUCAGGUGUGCCAUUAAACAAAUCGUUGUACACCAUUAGUUAUCUGCUGGUAACUUCAGCCGCUGCUGGAAUCACAUUUUAUUUCCUGUAUGUAUUGGUCGAUAUGUAUGGUUGGAGGCGCUUGAUGUUCGCUUUAGAGUGGAUGGGGAAGCAUUCUCUUGGUAUCUUUAUUCUCAUAAUAUCAAAUGUAGCUAUAUUCAAGGAUUCUAUAAGUUACUCAAUUCUUUUCCAUAUCUCCAGGGGGGUAUAAAUAAGGGAACAAAGUGUUACAUGCCUCAAAUAGGAAUUAUGUGGCCUAUGCCUUAUCACACUGUACAUGCGGAUAACUUGUUAAAUGUGGUCUGCUUUGCUUCGUUUUAGUAAAUUGUUAUUUAUGUCACAUUUACUUGGUAAUGCCUUCCAAUGUUUAUGGUCAUUUUCUGAUAUGUGGAUCCAAUAAAACUUUUUGCAUUCUUUUUAAAUUUAAAAGAAUACCUGCAAGAUUAAAAUUUGACCGAAAACGCUCAACUUUUUGGAUUUGCUGGUUAUGGUAUCCUACAAAUUGUGUUUGCUUUCUUUAUGGUUAAUCUUCAUGUUGUGGGAAAGUGAAAAAGAGGAAUAAGUAGUAGCUAUUAAGAUUUUUUUUAUUGGACUGAUAUGAAUUGGUUCUC